GCCUGGGUGGCUCAGUCAGUUAAGUGUCUGACUUAAGCUCAGGUCAUGAUCUCCCAGUUCGUGGGUUCAAGCCCUGCCUCAGGCU
rnacentral:tRNA from 1 species